AGUAAUUUAUAGAUAACGUACCUUUUAGUCUGGGAUAGCCAUUGGAAACGAUGAUUAAUACUAGAUACUCCUUCUAAUCAUAAGGUUAGUCGGGAAAGUUUUUUCGCUAAGAGAUCGGUCUAUAUCCCAUCAGCUUGUUGGUAGUGUAAGAGACUACCAAGGCAAUGACGGGUAGCGGGUUUGAGAGGAUGAUCCGCCACACUGGUACUGAGACACGGACCAGACUCC
rnacentral:rRNA from 1 species